rnacentral:snRNA from 1 species
GCGAGGAACUGUUUUCCUCG